rnacentral:lncRNA from 1 species
ACUAAUUUUGGGCUUUGUUCUUUUUCUAACUCCUUUAGGUAUAAGGUUAAAUUAUUUGAGAUUUUUCUUGUUCUUGAGACAGACCUUCCACAUACCAAAGAAUCUGCCUUGUGUUUCCAUUUUAUCUCCAUGUAUUUAUUUCCUCUUUGAUUUCUUCACUGACCCAUUGGUUGUUUAGUAGCACAUUGUUCAGCUUUUUCAAGUUUUUUCUUCCCUUGUAAUUAAUUUUUAGGUUCAUACUGUUACGGUGAGAAAAGAUGCUUGAUAUGAUUUCAACCUUAAGUGUAUUGAGACUACACUUGGGUGGCUCAGUGGUUGAGCCUCUGCCUUUGGCUCAGGUCACAUGAUCUGGGGUCCUGAAAUCCAGUCCUGCAUCAGGCUCCCUGUGAGGAGCCUGCUUUUUAUUUUUUUAAGAUUUUAUUUAUUUAUUCAUGAAAGACACAGACAGAGACAGAGACACAGGCAGAGGGGGAAGCAGGCUCCAUGCAGGAAGCCCAAUUUGGGACUCGAUGCCGGGACUCUGGGAUCACACUGAGCCAAAAGCAGAUGCUCAACCGCUGAGCCACCCAGGCAUCCCACGAGGAGCCUGCUUCUCCCUCUGCCUAUGUCUCUUCCUCUCUCUCUGUGUCUCUCAUGAAUAAAUAAAUAAUCUUUUAAAAAGUGUACCGAGACUUGUUUUGUAGCCUAACACGAUCUAUCCUGGAAAAUGUUCCAUGUGCACUCUGCCCUUUUUGGAUAGAAUGUUGUGUAUAUAUUUGCUAAGACCAUCCAGUCUAAUGUGUUGUUCAAACCCAUAUGAUCCGCCCACUGAUAUGAAUGGGGUUUUAAAUUCCUUACUAUUAUUGUAUACCGUCAAUAUUUGCUUUAUACAACUAGGUGCUCCUAUGUUGGGUGCAUAGAUAUUCAUAACUGUUAUACCUUCUUGUUGGAUCGUGCUCUUUAUCAUUAUGUAAUACCCUUCUGUGUCUCAUUACACAGUCUUUGUUUUAAAGUCUAUUUUGUCUGAUACAAGAAUUGCUACUCCAGUUUUUCUUUCACUCCCAUUUACAUGAAAUAUUUAUAUUUUAAGAUCUAAUUUAUUUGAGGGGUGACUGGGUGGCUCAGCUAGUUAGGCACUUGAGUCUUGGGUUCAGCCCUGGUCAUGAUUCUAUUGUGAGACUGAGCCCCACGUCUGGCUCCACAUUCAGGGGGGAGCCUGCUUCUCUCCUUUCCCUCUCCCCCUGCUUAUGUACUCUCUCUCUAAAAUAAUUCUUCAAAAAAAAAAAAAGAUUUGAGAGAGAGCAGCACUCCUGCAUGGAGUUUCUUUUUGCAUCCCUUCACUUCCAGUCUGUAUGUGAAGUGAGUGUCUUGUAGCAUAAUGACUGAUCCUGAUUCAUUAUUCAGUCACCUUAUGUCUUUUUAUGAGCAUUUAGUUCAUUCACAUUUAAAGUAACUACUAAUAGGGGUACCUGGUGGCUCAAAAGGUUGAGCAGCCAACUCGUGGUUUCAGUUCAGGUCAUGAUCUCAGGGUUAUGAGAUUGAGCCCUGUGUCAGGCUCUGUGCUCAGCAGAGUCUGCCUGUCCCUCUCCCUCCCUCUCUGCCCCUUCCCACAGUCAUGUAUGCAUGCUCUAAUAAAUCUUAAAAAAAAAAAAAAAAAGUAACUACUGACAGGUACAUACUUAUUGCUGUUUUGUCGUUUUCUGGUUGUUUUUAUAAUUCUUCGCUGUUCCAUUCUUCUCUGGCUCUCUUGCCUUCUGAUUUGAUGAUUUUCUUUAGUUGUAUGACUGAAUUCCUUUAUCUUUAUUUUUUUUUUAAGAUUUUAUAUUUCUUUAUUCAUGAGAGACACAGGAAGAGAGAGAGGCAGAGAUACAGGCAGAGGGAGAAGCAGGCUCCAUGCAGGGAGCCCGAGGCAGGACUCGAUCCCAGGUCUCCAGGAUCAUGCCCUGGGCUGAAGGCAGAUGUUUAACUGCUGAGCCACACAGGCAUCCAGGAUUCCUUUAUCUUUAAUGUAUCUGUUACAGGAUUUUGAUUUAUGGUUAUAAUGAAGUUCAUAUUUAACAUCCUGUGCAUAUAGCAGUCUAUUUUAAGUCGAUAAUCACAAGUUUGAACUCAUUCUAAAAGCACUACAUUUUUAUUCUCCCCUUCCAUGUUUUAUGCUUAUAUUGUCAUAUUUUAUAUCUCUUAAUUUUGUAUAUCUCUUAAUUACUGUAAAUAAUUAAGUAUUAAAUAAUCUUAAUACUUCCGUCUUUUAAACCUUCAUACUAGCAUUAUAAGUGAUACUACCUUUACUAUAUGUUUGCCUUUACCAGUGGAAUUUUUUCCUUUCAUGACUUCCUUACUUUUAGUUUUGGCCUUUCUUUUCCACUUAAAGAAGUCCCUUUAAAAGUUCCUGUAAGGUCGAUUUAGUGGUAAUGAAUUCCAACUUUUGUUUGUCUGGGAAACUCUUUAACUCUCCUUCAAUUCUGAAUGAUCUUGUUGGGUGGAUUGGUUAUAGAUUUUUUUCCUUUCAGCCCCCUGAAUAUAUCAUACCACUCCCUUAUGGCCUGAAGAGUUUCUGCUGAAAAAAAAAAAAAAAAAAGAGU